rnacentral:lncRNA from 1 species
CAGCUUGUGUUGUUUAGAUUCUGUUAUUUAUAUUCUGGUGUUGCCUUUGCAGGGAGAUACAGGGAUUCCAGGAGAGAGAGGAGUACAGGGAGAAAGAGGCAAACCUGGUGAAAGAGGGGGCUUUGGUCUUCAGGGGCAACCUGGACAGAAAGGAGAACCAGGCACACCUGGAUCUUUAACAACACCAGGGACUGUCAAUCUGUUGGGUGAUACAGCUGCCUUGGAGGAAAUUAAAACAUUCAUCCGAAAUGAAGUAUUGCGCGUAUUUGAAGAGAGAUUUUCAGACAGUUACGCUUUGCUACAGAAGACACCAGCAGCCAUAUUAGCCGCGCAGGGUCGACAAGG